UACGGGAGGCAGCAGUGGGGAAUAUUGCACAAUGGGCGCAAGCCUGAUGCAGCCAUGCCGCGUGUAUGAAAAAGGCCUUUCGGGUUGUAAAGUACUUUCAGUCGUGAGGAAGGUGUUAAGGUUAAGUAACCUUAGCAAUUGACGUUAGCGACAGAAGAAGCACCGGCUAACUCCGUGCCAGCAGCCGCGGUAAUACGGAGGGUGCGAGCGUUAAUCGGAAUUACUGGGCGUAAAGGGCACGCAGGCGGUUAAAUUAAGUUGGAUGUGAAAUCCCCGGGCUUAACCUGGGAAUGGCAUUCAAGACUGGUUAGCUAGAGUCUUGUAGAGGGGGUAGAAUUCCAUGUGUAGCGGUGAAAUGCGUAGAGAUGUGGAGGAAUACCGGUGGCGAAGGCGGCCCCUGGACAAAGACUGACGCUCAUGUGCGAAAGCGUGGGGAGCAAACAGGGAUUAGAUACC
rnacentral:rRNA from 1 species